rnacentral:rRNA from 1 species
CGGGUUUCCUCGGUACUGAAGUUAACACAUUAAGUACUCCGCCUGAGUAGUACGUACGCAAGUAUGAAACUUAAAGGAAUUGACGGGAUCCCGCACAAGCGGUGGAUCAUGUUGUUUAAUUCGAAGAUACACGAAAAACCUUACCAGGUCUUGACAUUAUCCUGCGAAGCUAUAGAAAUAUAGGGGAGGUUAUCAGGAUAACAGGUGGUGCAUGGUUGUCGUCAGCUCGUGUCGUGAGAUGUUAGGUUAAGUCCUAAAACGAGCGCAACCCUUGUCGUUAGUUACCAGCACGUUAUGGUGGGGACUUUAGCGAGACUGCCAAUGAAAAAAUUGGAGGAAGGUGAGGAUUACGUCAAAUCAUCAUGCCCCUUAUGAUCUGGGCUACAAACGUGAUACAAUGGCUAUUACAAAGAGCAGCUGAAACGUGAGUUGUUAGCUAAUCUCAAAAAAAUAGUCUCAGUUCGGAUUGAAGUCUGCAACUCGACUUCAUGAAGUUGGAAUCGCUAGUAAUCGCGAAUCAGCAUGUCGCGGUGAAUACGUUCUCGGGGUUUGUACACACCGCCCGUCAAACCAUGAAAGUUGACAAUACCCAAAACCAGUCGCUUAACUACUUCGGUAGAGGGAGCUGUCUAAGGUAGGGUCGAUGAUUGGGGUUAAGUCGUAACAAGGUAUCCCUACCGGAAGGUGGGGAUGGAUCACCUCCUUUCUAAGGAAAUGUCGUAUCAUGAUCAUCUUCAGUUUUGAAAGACUUAGAGUAGAUAAGUUUUUCUUUUGGCGUAGAGGAAGGGCCUAUAGCUCAGUUGGUAGAGCACACGCUUGAUAACGGCGGUCAUGGUUCAGUCAUUU